UUUCCGGUUGAUCCCGCCGGAGGUCACUGCUAUCGGGGUUCGAUUAAGCCAUGCGAGUCGAGAGGGUUCGGCCCUCGGCGUACUGCUCAGUAACACGUGGAUAACCUGCCCUAGGGAAGGGGAUAAUCCCGGGAAACUGGGGAUAAUACCCUAUAGGUUACAGAUGCUGGAAUGCUCUGUAAUCAAAAGUUCCGGCGCCCUAGGAUGGAUCUGCGGCCGAUUAGGUUGUUGUUGGGGUAAUGGCCCAACAAGCCAGUAAUCGGUACGGGUUGUGGGAGCAAGAGCCCGGAGUUGGAUUCUGAGACACGAAUCCAGGCCCUACGGGGCGCAGCAGGCGCGAAAACUUUACAAUGCGGGCAACCGUGAUAAGGGAACCUCGAGUGCCUGUAAAUGCAGGCUGUUCAGAUGCCUAAAACACAUCUGGAGAAAGGGCCGGGCAAGACCGGUGCCAGCCGCCGCGGUAAUACCGGCGGCUCGAGUGGUGGCCACUUUUAUUGGGCUUAAAGCGUUCGUAGCUGGGUUGUUAAGUCUCUUGGGAAAUCUGGCGGCUUAACCGUCAGGCGUCUAAGGGAUACUGGCAAUCUUGGAACCGGGAGAGGUGAGGGGUACUUCGGGGGUAGGAGUGAAAUCCUGUAAUCCUCGAGGGACCACCUGUGGCGAAGGCGCCUCACCAGAACGGCUUCGACAGUGAGGGACGAAAGCUGGGGGAGCAAACCGGAUUAGAUACCCGGGUAGUCCCAGCUGUAAACUAUGCGCGUUAGGUGUAUCGGUGACCACGAGUUACCGA
rnacentral:rRNA from 1 species